GCCAGGCAUGGUGGCCUGUGCCUGUAAUCCCAGCUACUAGGGAGGCUGAGGCAGGAGAAUCACUUGAGCCUGGGAGGAGGAGGUUGCAGUGAGCCGAGAUCAUGCCACUACACUCCAGCCUGGGCAACAGAGUGAGACUCUGUCUCAA
rnacentral:SRP_RNA from 1 species